ACGAACAGUUGGAAACGACUGCUAAUACCGCAUACGAUCUAAUCUCGGCAUCGAGGAUAGAUGAAAGGUGGCCUCUACAUGUAAGCUAUCACUGAAGGAGGGGAUUGCGUCUGAUUAGCUAGUUGGAGGGGUAACGGCCCACCAAGGCGAUGAUCAGUAGCCGGUCUGAGAGGAUGAACGGCCACAUUGGGACUGAGACAUGGCCCAG
rnacentral:rRNA from 1 species